GUUGCAGCCACGCUCGGGAAUGGGCCCUGCCAGCUCCGGCCUCGCACGUAGGCGAACCGCUGUCACCGUAAGCCCGGCCUCGCGACCCCCGUCCGAGGUCCCCACGAUCGUGGGCGAGUGGGGUCUGCGGCCCGCGGGGAUGGAGGGCCGCGGGAUUCGCCAGGGCAAGCCCCGACUGCGCAUGUGGAACUGAGCCAUGUCCUUUGUUUGGUCUGUGGAUUUGGACUUGGAGGAGGAGUCCAGACCGGCUGAGCAGGACUGAGUUCCCUGAACAGGCAAUGCCACCAAACUGCUGUCCGGCACUAGGGCCCAGAGGGCUUGCGCCAGCUGCCAGACUACCUUGUAACCCCGUUCCUGCUGCCUUGAAAGUCUGAGAAGUGUGCACUCCUUCAGCUUAGGAAAGGUGGGAAAGGAGAGGACCCUUCCUGCCCUUUCUUGAAUGGCCCAAGAUGAGUUCCAGGGCCUCCUGAGUUGUGCUCACGCCUGUAAUCCCAGCAGUUUGGGAGGCCGAGGCGGGCGGAUCACCUGAGAUUGGGAGCUCGAGACCAGCCUGACCAACACGGAG